rnacentral:rRNA from 1 species
CCCUUAGACGUUCUGGGCCGCACGCGCGCUACACUGACCAGUGCAACAAGCAUCCGUCCUUGGCCGACAGGCUCGGGCAAUCUUUGAACGCUGGUCGUGAUGGGGAUAGACUUUUGCAAUUUUUGGUCUUCAACGAGGAAUUCCUAGUAAACGCAAGUCAUCAACUUGCAUUGAUUACGUCCCUGCCCUUUGUACACACCGCCCGUCGCACCUACUGAUUGAAUGACUCGGUGAAAAAUUGGGACUGUGAAAACAAUUGAUUCAGUUCAAAUGUAUUCGUGGAAACUUUUUUUAACCUCGUUAUUUAGAAGAAGGUGAAGUCGUAACA